UACGUAGGGUGCGAGCGUUAAUCGGAAUUACUGGGCGUAAAGUGUGCGCAGGUGGCUUCGCAAGUCGAGUGUGAAAUCCCCGGGCUUAACCUGGGAAUUGCGCUCGAAACUACGGAGCUGGAGUGUGGCAGAGGGAGGUGGAAUUCCACGUGUAGCGGUGAAAUGCGUAGAGAUGUGGAGGAACAUCAAUGGCGAAGGCAGCCUCCUGGGCCAACACUGACACUCAUGCACGAAAGCGUGGGGAGCAAACAGG
rnacentral:rRNA from 1 species